rnacentral:rRNA from 1 species
UACGUAGGGUGCAAGCGUUAAUCGGAAUCAUUGGGCGUAAAGCGCGUGUAGGCGGCUCGAUAAGUCCGGUGUGAAACCUUGGGGCUCAACCCCAAGCCUGCACUGGAUACUGCCGAGCUAGAGUCCGGGAGGGGAGAGCGGAAUUCCUAGUGUAGCGGUGAAAUGCGCAGAUAUUAGGAAGAACACCGGUGGCGAAGGCGGCUCUCUGGAACGGUACUGACGCUGAGGAGCGAAAGCGUGGGGAGCGAACAGG